rnacentral:lncRNA from 1 species
AGGAUUGUACAAUUAAUGAGAGAAUAUUCUACCAAUAAUAAAAAGAUACACAAAAGAUAUUUACAAUAUUUUCUAAUACGCCCCCUCAAGAUGGAGGGCUGGAGGACACGCCAAUGUUGGUAGAAUACACAAAAGAUAUUUACAAUGUUGUCACUGUAAAUGACAGGAGCAGCCGGAAGAGGGACAUGAAGCUCGCGCAGCAGGG